GGGAAGAUAGCUUAGUGGUAGAGUGCUUGCCUUGCAUGCAUGAGGCCCUGGGUUCAAUUCCUCAGUACCA
rnacentral:tRNA from 1 species